UGGGGAAUAUUGCACAAUGGGCGCAAGCCUGAUGCAGCAACGCCGCGUGAACGAUGAAGGUCUUCGGAUCGUAAAGUUCUGUUGCAGGGGAAGAUAAUGACGGUACCCUGUGAGGAAGCCCGGCUAACUACGUGCCAGCAGCCGCGGUAAUACGUAGGGGGCUAGCGUUAUCCGGAUUUACUGGGCGUAAAGGGUGCGUAGGUGGUCUUUCAAGUCGGUGGUUAAAGGCUACGGCUCAACCGUAGUUAGCCUCCGAAACUGGAAGACUUGAGUGCAGGAGAGGAAAGUGGAAUUCCCAGUGUAGCGGUGAAAUGCGUAGAUAUUGGGAGGAACACCAGUAGCGAAGGCGGCUUUCUGGACUGCAACUGACACUGAGGCACGAAAGCGUGGGUAGCAAACAGG
rnacentral:rRNA from 1 species